UACGUAGGGGGCAAGCGUUGUCCGGAAUUAUUGGGCGUAAAGCGCGCGCAGGCGGUCCUUUAAGUCUGCUGUGAAAGCCCACGGCUCAACCGUGGAGGGUCAUUGGAAACUGGGGGACUUGAGUACAGAAGAGAAGAGUGGAAUUCCACGUGUAGCGGUGAAAUGCGUAGAGAUGUGGAGGAACACCAGUGGCGAAGGCGACUCUUUGGUCUGUAACUGACGCUGAGGCGCGAAAGCGUGGGGAGCAAACAGG
rnacentral:rRNA from 1 species